rnacentral:rRNA from 1 species
UACGUAGGGCGCGAGCGUUGUCCGGAAUUAUUGGGCGUAAAGAGCUCGUAGGCGGCCUGUCGCGUCCGCUGUGAAAUCCCGGGGCUCAACCCCGGGCGUGCAGUGGAUACGGGCUGGCUGGAGGCAGGCAGGGGAGAAUGGAAUUCCUGGUGUAGCGGUGAAAUGCGCAGAUAUCAGGAGAAACACCGGUGGCGAAGGCGGAUCUCUGGGCCGAUACUGACGCUGAGGAGCGAAAGCGUGGGGAGCGAACAGG